UUUUCUUGACUCUAAAAAGGUCUUGGAAUAAGAGGUGGGUAAGGACGGUGCCAGCCGCCGCGGUAAUACCGGCGCCUCAAGUGGUAGUCGCUUUUAUUGGGCCUAAAACGUCCGUAGCCGGUCUGAUACAUUCUGGGGUAAAUCAACCAGCUUAACUGGUUGAAUUCUGCGAGGACGGUCAAACUUGGGACCGGGAGAGGUGUGGGGUACGCUCAGGGUAGGGGUAAAAUCCUGUCAUCCUGAGCGGACCACCUGUUGCGAAGGCGCCACACUAGAACGGAUCCGACGGUCAGGGACGAAGCCUAGGGGCACGAACCGGAUUAAUUACCCGGGUAGUCCUAGGUGUAAACGCUGUGGACUUGAUGUUGGGGGUGCUCCGAGCACUCUCAGGGUCGAAGCGAAGGUGAUAAGUCCACUGCCUGGGAAGUACGGUCGCAAGGCUGAAACUUAAAGGA
rnacentral:rRNA from 1 species